CGCGUAGGCGGCUCAUAAAGGCUGUGGUGAAAGUUCGGGGCUCAACCUCGAAUCGGCCGUGGCGACUUGUGGGCUGGAGCACUGUAGAGGCGGGUGGAAUUCCGGGUGUAGCGGUGGAAUGCGUAGAGAUCCGGAAGAACACCAGUGGCGGAGGCGGCCCGCUGGGCAGUGGCUGACGCUGAAGCGCGACAGCGUGGGGAGCAAACA
rnacentral:rRNA from 1 species